rnacentral:rRNA from 1 species
GAACUGAAGAGUUUGAUCCUGGCUCAGAUUGAACGCUGGCGGCAUGCCUUACACAUGCAAGUCGAACGGCAGCGGGGGUAGCUUGCUACCUGCCGGCGAGUGGCGAACGGGUGAGUAAUACAUCGGAACGUGCCCU